rnacentral:rRNA from 1 species
UACGCAGAGUGGUAGUCCCGCGUGUCUUAUGGCUUGGCACGUUGAAAGGCGCAGCCCGUUUCCUAGGCAAAUCCGGGAAACAAUUGAAGGGUGAGGCCUGAUCGUGACCCCUUGUUAGGGGGAAGUAGGGUGAUCCUGUGCUGCCGAGAAAAGCAUCGACGUGAGGUUUUAGCCGCCCGUACCCGAAACCGACACAGGUAGUCAGGUAGAGAAUACUAAGGCGAUCGAGAGAAUCGUGGUUAAGGAACUCGGCAAAAUGCCCCCGUAACUUUGGGAGAAGGGGGACCCAAACCCUGAAGGAUCUAGCAUUCUAGGGGUGAGGGUCGCAGAGUCCAGGGAGAAGCGACUGUUUAUCAAAAACACAGGUCCGUGCGAAGCCGCAAGGCGAUGUAUACGGACUGACGCCUGCCCGGUGCUGGAAGGUUAAGCGGACCGGUCAGCAUAGCUUGUCUAUGUGAAGCUGGGAAGUUAAGCCCCAGUAAACGGCGGUGGUAACUAUAACCAUCCUAAGGUAGCGAAAUUCCUUGUCGGGUAAGUUCCGACCUGCACGAAUGGCGUAACGACUUCUCUACUGUCUCGACCACGAACUCGGCGAAAUUGCAUUACGAGUAAAGAUGCUCGUUACGCGCAGAAGGACGGAAAGACCCCGGGACCUUUACUAUAGCUUGGUAUUGGUGUUCGGUACGGCUUGUGUAGGAUAGGUGGGAGACUGUGAAACUCAGACGCUAGUUUGGGUGGAGUCAUUGUUGAAAUACCACUCUGGCCGUGCUGCACAUCUAACCUCGGCCCGUGAUCCGGGCCAGGAACAGUGCCUGGUGGGUAGUUUAACUGGGGCGGUUGCCUCCUAAAAGGUAACGGAGGCGCUCAAAGGUUUCCUCAGCCUGGUCGGUAACCAGGUGUCGAGUGUAAGUGCACAAGGAAGCCUGACUGUGAGACUGACAGGUCGAACAGGUACGAAAGUAGGAACUAGUGAUCCGGCACUGGCUUGUGGAAGCGGUGUCGCUCAACGGAUAAAAGGUACCCCGGGGAUAACAGGCUGAUCCUGCCCAAGAGUUCAUAUCGACGGCAUGGUUUGGCACCUCGAUGUCGGCUCGUCGCAUCCUGGGGCUGGAGUAGGUCCCAAGGGUUGGGCUGUUCGCCCAUUAAAGCGGUACGCGAGCUGGGUUCAGAACGUCGUGAGACAGUUCGGUCCCUAUCCUCUGCGCGCGUUGGAGAAUUGAGAAGGGCUGUCCCUAGUACGAGAGGACCGGGACGGACGGACCACUGGUGUGCCAGUUAUCCCGCCAGGGGUAUGGCUGGUUGGCUACGUCCGGGAAGGAUAACCGCUGAAAGCAUCUAAGCGGGAAGCCUGCUUCAAGAAUAAUUCUCACUCAACAAUUUGUUGUGAAGGCCCCCGGAAGACUACCGGGUUGAUAGACCAGACAUGUAAGCCCGGCAACGGGUUGAGUCGACUGGCACUAAUGGCCAACAACCUA